rnacentral:rRNA from 1 species
UACAGAGGGGGCAAGCGUUGUUCGGAAUUACUGGGCGUAAAGGGCGCGUAGGCGGCCUUCUAAGUCGAACGUGAAAUCCCUGGGCUCAACCCAGGAACUGCGUCCGAUACUGGAAGGCUUGAAUCCGGGAGAGGGAUGCGGAAUUCCGGGUGUAGUGGUGAAAUGCGUAGAUAUCCGGAGGAACACCAGUGGCGAAAGCGGCCACCUGGACUGCACCUGACGCUGACACGCGAAAGCUAGGGGAGCGAACGGG